UGCCAGCAGUCGCGGUUAAACCAAGAAAUUUAGUCAUUCUUUUACGGUAAAAAGACAGUUAGGCUGAAAACUAAAAGCCAUGAGAUUUUUAAUAUAGGAGUAAAAUCUAAGUAUUAAAAGAUAUUCCAGGCAUGGUUUAUUUAAGACGCUGAAUCUGUGACAACUUUAAGGGAAACUGGGAUUGGAUACCCCAUUAUUUUUAGUUGUAAAUUUAGUCUAAGCUUACCGGAGUACUACGAAUCAAAAAAUUUAAAACUCAAAGGGCUUGGCGGUGUUUUAGACCUCUCAGGGGAACCUGUCUCAUAAUCGACAAUCCGCGCUAAACCUGACCUUUUCUGGUAAUGCAGCCUGUAUACCGUCGUCGUCAGGUAACUUCUUAAAAUAUAGUAGUUAGCUAGAGAAUUGUAUUAAUUAGGACGUCAGAUCAAGGUGCAGCUAAUGAGAGGGUGAAGAUGGGUUACAAUUACAAAUUUGUAAUAACGGAAAGGCGUUUGAAAUUAAAUGCCUUAAAGGAGGACUUGAAAGUAAUUUUAAGUAAAUAAAUAAAAUGAAUAAGGCUCUGAAACGUGCACACAUCGCCCGCCACUCU
rnacentral:rRNA from 1 species